AGCCUGAGAAACGGCUACCACAUCCAAGGAAGGCAGCAGGCGCGCAAAUUACCCAAUCCCGACACGGGGAGGUAGUGACAAUAAAUACUGAUACAGGGCUCUUUUGGGUCUUGUAAUUGGAAUGAGUACAAUUUAAACCUCUUAACGAGGAACAAUUGGAGGGCAAGUCUGGUGCCAGCAGCCGCGGUAAUUCCAGCUCCAAUAGCGUAUAUUAAAGUUGUUGCAGUUAAAAAGCUCGUAGUUGAAACUUGGGCCUGGCUGGCAGGUCCGCCUCACCGCGUGUACUUGUCCGGCCGGGCCUUUCCUUCUGGAGAACCUCAUGCCCUUCACUGGGUGUGUUGGGGAACCAGGACUUUUACUUUGAAAAAAUUAGAGUGUUCAAAGCAGGCCUUUGCUCGAAUACGUUAGCAUGGAAUAAUAGAAUAGGACGUGCGGUCCUAUUUUGUUGGUUUCUAGGACCGCCGUAAUGAUUAAUAGGGACAGUCGGGGGCAUCAGUAUUCAAUUGUCAGAGGUGAAAUUCUUGGAUUUAUUGAAGACUAACUACUGCGAAAGCAUUUGCCAAGGAUGUUUUCAUUAAUCAGUGAACGAAAGUUAGGGGAUCGAAGACGAUCAGAUACCGUCGUAGUCUUAACCGUAAACUAUGCCGACUAGGGAUCGGGCGAUGUUCUUUUUCUGACUCGCUCG
rnacentral:rRNA from 2 species